GCAGGGAGCCUGCCCUGGCUUUUUCUCUUUCUCAGGAGUCACGAGCGGCCCUCGGGUUCCAGCCUCCUGGGCAGCGCUCCCGCCCCGUCCCCUCGGGCAGCGCUCCCGCCCCGUCCCCUCGGGCAGCGCCAGGACGGCCCGACUGGCAGAGGACAGCUGUGCGUGCUUCUCUGGCAGUGUCUUAGCUGGUUGUUGUGAGCAUAGGAAGAAGCAAUCAGCGAGUAUACUGCCCUAGAAGUGCGGCACGUUGUGGCGAGAGGCUGUGGGCACUCCGGGCCGGCACCGGGAGCUGCUCUGAGGUUGGCGGGUGAGCCUUGGGGGUGCCCACGCGGGGCUCCCGGGGCUCUCGGGCAGCUCUGGCUGGGGAGUGCACAGGGCAGACAGGGCGGCUCACGCAGUGCGCAGUGCGGCGGGGAGGCUGUGCUGCGGGCGCCCCACUGCGCCCCGCUGUGUUCGAGGGAGCGGGGCCUCUGUCGCUGUCGCCUCAGGAGACGGGCGGGACGCGGUGGUGUGGCCGACCAAAAGGGGAGCGGGUUUGAGGGGGGCGGGGGCUGGGUCCAGAGUCCGUGGGGGGACCCCGGGCGCCCAGCUCUGCGGAGCCACCCAUGGGUGCACACGAGACACAGCUGUGGGUCCGUGAGCCUGGGGGAGGCUUUGUCUUUCAGCUGAGCCCAGGAUGGAUGGGUGGGGGUGUCUUCUGCCGGGGGCCCGUGACAGGCCCCUCCAAGGGCUGAGAAGAGAGCUCGCGCCUCCUGCAGCUCCUCCGGCUUCAGGGCCAGUGACUGCGGGCCCCAGCUGGAACUGGACUCAGGCCUCCAGAGCAUGGAAAGCGAAGGCCGGGGCUGUUCAGGUCUGACCCCAGGGCAACCCCAGUCUUGGGGGAGUCUGGGGAGCCCCAUACCGGGCCCUGUGCUGGCGGGCGGGCUGUGAGUACCCCCGUCUCUGUCCACCUGACCCCCACUGCCCUCCCGUCCAGCGCUGACAGGAAGUCAGGUCUGAGAGGUGACGCUGAUGUGGCUACCCCCCCAAACCCCCCCCCAAAGUCCCCCGGGAGACGGGGACUCCCGGCGCCUUCAGCUCAGAGAGCAGCCUCAGCUGGGCCCGCGGCUCUCCCCUGCACUGCCCAGCGCGCCCGUUGCCCCCUGUCCCGGCCGGACCCUGUUUCCAUCCUGACCACCCUGACAGAGGGCCCCUAAGAGGUUUUCUGACUCUGGAGCUUGGCACAGAUGGAUGGCGCGUGAGUUCUCGGUCUCGCGGGGCGGGCGAGGGAGGGGAGCCCCCUCCGAGCAGAUCGGGCCGCAGGAAGCGGCCUGCCGGAGUGGGGACCCCGGCGGCGGUCUCGCGGCUGCUCUGGAGAGGGCCGUUGGCUGGACCAAGCCCACUCGGCCACGAAUUCCCCUCUCCGGGCCGUGGCAGCGGGCGUGGGCCGGCAUGGCACAGGCAAUGCGUGGAACGUGGCCGCCAGGACGGGCUCGGCCCCGCGCAGAGGCCUGACCCAGGCGCGCACGCGCUCGGCCUGAGCUGGUCGUCACAUUCUUCCCAGGGCGAGGCCCGCUGCUCGUGGAAGCGGCUCUCCUGGGUGGCGGCAGCUGUCUGCGCACCUGGGUCCCUGUAGAAGCGCUCGCGCUCACCUCUUCUCCCGUCUCACUUUGCUCUUAGUGUGCCGCCAACACGGAAACAAGGGAAGUGGCCUUCUCCCGAGGAGCACGGCUGCGGGAGGACCGUGAGAGGAGACAUCAGCACUGCACAAAGAUGAGCCAGAGGGUGGUUCUGCAGUUUAGCAGGAUUGAACCAAAAUCCGGGGAAGCGACUUGGGAUCUCCCUGUACGUAUUUGUUUUUGUAACUACUGUAAGUCUAUGAUCGAUUCCAAAUAAAGGGUUAGAACAUG